CCACGCUCCAAAAACUGUUUCAUCUCAGAAGCAAGGCUGCUGCUGCUGUGCUGGCCGGGUUCCCUGAGGUUCUUGGAUCAGGAAAUGGGUAGAAAUCACAGGACAAUCUCUCUUCCCACCAAAAAAGUUGCGUAUUUUGGUAAGUGUUUGUCCUAGAGGGAAAAAACUGAAAUUUACAUUAGCAGUGCUGUGCAAGAUUCUUACAUAAAUCAAGACCUAAAAGCAGCUUGCAGUGGAGGUUUUGGUCCCCUGUUCAGGUGCUUGGACAGAAGCCAUAAGCUGGUGAGUGUGACAGGGAAAAGGAGGCAGUGAAGACAGGUGACAGGCACCUAGCAGGGAAGGAGGAUUCAGGAAUACCAGACUCCUUGGAAUGGAGUGUUGUUUUUCCUUUUUUUUUUUUUCAUCUCUGUAGGAAGGUGCUGGGCAGGGAUCCCAGAGAAAGAAAGGGUUGAAUACUCCUUUAACUGCCCUGGAUGAAGGGCACUGCUACAGCAGCUAGUACCGGAGACUCUCCUAUCUCAUGGUUGAGGCAGACCCAGGAUAGAAUAGUGAAUAAAAGGAAUGCUUAUAGGAAACAAUUUUGCGUGGAAUGCUAGAUGGCCAAGCCUCAGCCUUUGGUCCAGUGCAAUCCUUGCCUCACUUGUCAAUAGUGAAAAAUUAGUUUGGUUAGAAGAACCAUCUGGAAACACACCAGCUUCUGCUACCUUCAUGCUCAUUGU
rnacentral:lncRNA from 1 species